rnacentral:sRNA from 1 species
UUAUUAUUCACGGACCUUCGGUCGUUGGCAGACACUGACUUUUGGGAGGAACGGAAGUGGAGGUCAAACAAGGCUGGUCUGGAGUGAUAAAAAGAUAAACUCAUUCCAGACACAAUAAUCAUCAUCGGUGAAAAGAGUGAGGAUUUAGAUUAUAUAUGACGGUGGCCUUAACCAUAUGAAAGGUCAUCUAUUCUUUACUAUUCUACAAUGACUCAAUGGACUAUGGUAAUGACUGACUUCUAAUAUCGAUGAAAGUUGAAGCCAAUGGUUUCCCGUGAUGAAAAUGGAGUUCGGGAUAAGAAUAGGGAGUUAGAUACCGUACUGGAUAAUCUAUGUUUGGAGCGAAUGGAGAUAUCAUAUGAUGAUCGAUGUACGAUCUAAGAACCGG